GUAGGCAUAGUUUAAAAAAANCAUUAGAUUGUGAUUCUAAAAAAGGGGGUUAGAAUCCCCUUGUCCACC
rnacentral:tRNA from 1 species